rnacentral:lncRNA from 1 species
CACACACUCCUUGGCAGCAAACGUGAGUUUUCAUUGGUUCAAUCUUGUCCAAUGAAAGCCGCCCGAAAACAUCUCACGGACCUUCACCGAGUCUGGCAGUUCUUUCGUCCCGUUUGCAUUGAAUAAUGGUUGGAAUACAUUGAUCCUCGCUAUGACUGCUCAAUAAUUCGAAUUCAGACGUUAGAUAAGAAAGACGGGUACACAAUACAUUUUUCUGACCACACAACCGACUAACGUACACCGGGAUUACAACGCCUGAUGAAAAUACAAUACUCGAGCGGUCUACGGUUCCUUCUUUCUUUCCCCUGGGUUUUCUUCCUUUUGUUUCCUUUUCCUUUGCUUAGCAGAUAUGUAUGCAUUUUUCUUGCUGUAGAAGCAAAGCACCCGUUUCCUCGUGACGCUGAAGCUCUCUGGUUCUACAAAAGACGAAGGUAAUAAAACCUUUAUAGUUCGCAGACGAACAUGUCUGCCCAGGUAAAAUUGUUGUAAUACUGAUAUAACUCCUCAUUGUCGAAUAAAGAAACCCAUGUUCGGCACACGUCACUUCAUGAACUGAUUUCACAUUUCGAUCUUUGCAUCCAUAGAAUCACUCAUAUUCAAUUUGGAACGGAAGUUUGGGAAAGAAUAAAUUGAAUGGAAGGAGUUAAAACCAGCUGUAAUUCCACAUCCCUUACUAGAGGAAGGAUGGUACGAACUGAAAAAUGUUUAUAAUAUAAUAAGCUCAUGAACAAAAGAUAUGAGACUUUUUACAAAGAAUAAUUUCUCAAGAAACCGACUUACUUAGAUGUUUAGAUUAUAUACUUUCUUUUUCUUGCACUUAAAAAUAUGUAAGUAUAUUCCUACGAGACCACAUAUUUUGAAGUUCAGAUUGGAGGAAAUAUGGUGUGCGAGAAUAAAUGAAUGGAACUUAUUCAGUACUUGAGGAAUAAUUGUUGAACUCACAUCAGUUAGCCCAGCUGGACGAACAAUAAAGAUAAACGUAUAGAGAAGCAUUUUAAAUUAGCAAGCAUUUCCACUGUCGAAAGAUUAGGAGUUAGCCUGUUCACACAUACGUAUAGCCCAUUAAAAGGAUGCAAAAAAUUGAGCUAAUAGGCCAAAAAUAAAUAUAAAAAUUCCCAUGCAUAACAAUCAAAUUAAUUAGGAUUCUUGAAAUUAAGAUACCCGAUAACGAAACUAUGGCUGAAUGAUACAAGAAAAAACUCACACACCAUGCAUUCGAUUAGAAUACUCGAACAAUCUUCUCUUAUUAUCUAUACUACACAUCACGCUACGUAGAUAUCAUAUCGAAGGAAUACAACUUUUAUGGAUCAUAACACCACCAAGCUUGGGCGUAGUAGAGUAAUUAAAAGCAUCAAUAAUAUGGCAAGCAAUCAUUCAUCUCGCACACAAAAAGGAAAGAAACAUAGGCCACGGCAUAGGAGAAAAUAUCUUGUAC